ensembl:lncRNA
GCCGUCUAUGCAUACAGUUGGAUUUUAUUUAACCUUUAUUUAACUAGGCAAGGCAGUUAAUUAAGAACAAAUUCUUAUCUACAAUGACGGCCUAACCCGGACAACAUUGGGCCAAUUGUGCGCUGCCCUAUGGUAAUCACGGCCGGUUGUGAUACAGCCUGGAAUCGAACCGGGGUCUGUAGUGAUUCCUCCAGCACUGAGAUGCAGUGCCUUUAGACCGCUGCGCCACUCGGGGGAAAUAGUAGGCAGCAUCUUCUUGAUGUGUGCAACAGUUCAACAUUCUCCUUCUACUACCAUUUCUGUCAAACCAUCUACACAUACAGUUUGAUCACAUACAUUCGAUAAAUCCAACGUACUGUAUGAACCACACAGAACACACUGCAACUGCCUCUGCAACGCUAUGCUGCAAAGGAAACGCAGCGCUUCAUUGGAAAUUAAUGUAGUUCCGGUUUACCAAAAUGCUAUGACGCUGUCGGUGUGUUCGAGGCGUAAGAGCAGUGACUCCGUCGGUGUGUUCGAGGCGUAAGAGCAGUGACUCCGUCGGUGUGUUCGAGGCGUAAGGGCAGGGGACAGCACAGUGACGCUGUCGGUGUGUUCGG